AGAUGAUACAGAGGAAUCAUCUGAGAACGACAUACCAUUAAAGGGUCAAAUUCCAGCCACUCAAGGUGAUAAAAAGGAACCAGUUGAGAAUGAGAAAGUCACACAUAGUGGAACUCCAGCCACUCAAGAUCGUGAUGACGCACCAGAUCUGCCGCUAAGGGGAGAACCUGACCCCAAUGCUUAUACUAAUCGUGAUGACGCACCAGAUCUGCCGCUAAGGGGAGAACCUGACCCCAAUGCUUAUACUAAUCGUGAUGACGUACAACAUCAGCCAAGCGGAGAACAUGACCCCAAUCCAUCUACUAGUGAUAAAAAGGAACCAUCUGAGAAUGAGAUAUCAUUACAGAGUAAAAAUCAAGCCACUCAAGGUAAGUCAUUCAUCACUCAAGAGGCUGACCAUUUUAUAUUCUGGGCUUUCAAAAUCAA